GACGAACGCUGGCGGCGUGCUUAACACAUGCAAGUCGAACGCUGAAGCUUGGUGCUUGCACUGGGUGGAUGAGUGGCGAACGGGUGAGUAAUACGUGAGUAACCUGCCCUUGACUCUGGGAUAAGCCUGGGAAACUGGGUCUAAUACUGGAUACGACAUGCCACUGCAUGGUGGUGUGUGGAAAGGGGUUUUCUGGUUUUGGAUGGGCUCACGGCCUAUCAGCUUGUUGGUGAGGUAAUGGCCUACCAAGGCGACGAAGGGUAGCCGGCCCUAGAGGGUGACCGCCCACCCUGGGACUGAGGCACGGCCCAGACUCCUACGGGAGGCAGCAGUGGGGAAUAUUGCGCAAUGGGCGGAAGCCUGAUGCAGCGACGCCGCGUGCGGGAUGCCGGCCUUCGGGUUGUAAACCUCUUUCAGCGCGGAAGAAGCGAGAGUGACGGUACGUGCAGAAGAAGCGCCGGCUAACUACGUG
rnacentral:rRNA from 1 species